rnacentral:tRNA from 3 species
GGGGCCUUAGCUCAGCUGGGAGAGCGCCUGCCUUGCACGCAGGAGGUCAGCGGUUCGAUUCCGCUAGGCUCCACCA